UACAGAGGUCCCAAGCGUUGUUCGGAUUCACUGGGCGUAAAGGGUGCGUAGGCGGUCGGGUAAGUCUGAUGUGAAAUCUCACAGCUUAACUGUGAAACUGCAUUGGAUACUAUCCGGCUCGAGGAAUGGAGGGGGGAGACUGGAAUACUUGGUGUAGCAGUGAAAUGCGUAGAUAUCAAGUGGAACACCAGUGGCGAAGGCGAGUCUCUGGACAUUUCCUGACGCUGAGGCACGAAAGCCAGGGGAGCAAACGGG
rnacentral:rRNA from 1 species